rnacentral:rRNA from 1 species
GCCCUUGAAGUAGGGGAUAACACUUGGAAACAGGUGCUAAUACCGUAUAACAACCAAAACCACCUGGUUUUGGUUUAAAAGAUGGCUUCGGCUAUCACUUUAGGAUGGACCCGCGGCGUAUUAGCUUGUUGGUAAGGUAACGGCCUACCAAGGCAAUGAUACGUAGCCGACCUGAGGGUAAUCGGCCACAUUGGGACUGAGACACGGCCCAAACUCCUACGGGAGGCAGCAGUAGGGAAUCUUCCACAAUGGACGAAAGUCUGAUGGAGCAACGCCGCGUGAGUGAUGAAGGGUUUUUUUUCGUAAAACUCUGUUGUUGGAGAAGAACAGGUGUGAGAGUAACUGUUCACAUCUUGACGGUAUCCAACCAGAAAGCCACGGCUAACUACGUGCCAGCAGCCGCGGUAAUACGUAGGUGGCAAGCGUUGUCCGGAUUUAUUGGGCGUAAAGCGAGCGCAGGCGGUUUCUUAGGUCUGAUGUGAAAGCCUUCGGCUUAACCGGAGAAGUGCAUCGGAAACCAGGAGACUUGAGUGCAGAAGAGGACAGUGGAACUCCAUGUGUAGCGGUGAAAUGCGUAGAUAUAUGGAAGAACACCAGUGGCGAAGGCGGCUGUCUGGUCUGUAACUGACGCUGAGGCUCGAAAGCAUGGGUAGCGAACAGGAUUAGAUACCCUGGUAGUCCAUGCCGUAAACGAUGAGUGCUAAGUGUUGGAGGGUUUCCGCCCCUCAGUGCUGCAGCUAACGCAUUAAGCACUCC